AUUGAACGCUGGCGGAAUGCUUUACACAUGCAAGUCGAACGGUAGAGGGGGCAACCCCUCGAGAGUGGCGAACGGGUGAGUAAUAUAUCGGAACGUGCCCAGUCGUGGGGGAUAACGUAGCGAAAGUUACGCUAAUACCGCAUACGAUCUAAGGAUGAAAGCGGGGGAUCGCACGACCUCGCGCGAUGGGAGCGGCUGAUAUCAGAUUAGGUAGUAGGUGGGGUAAAGGCUCACCAAGCCAACGAUCUGUAGCUGGCCUGAGAGGACGGCCAGCCACACUGGAACAGAGACACGGUCCAGACUCCUACGGGAGGCAGCAGUGGGGAAUUUUGGACAAUGGACGCAAGUCUGAUCCAGCCAUUCCGCGUGCAGGAUGAAGGCCCUCGGGUUGUAAACUGCUUUUGUACGGAACGAAAAGGUCUCUCUUAAUACGGGGGGCUCAUGACGGUACCAUAAGAAUAAGCACCGGCUAACUACGUGCCAGCAGCCGCGGUAA
rnacentral:rRNA from 1 species